UACAGAGGGGGCAAGCGUUGUUCGGAAUUACUGGGCGUAAAGGGCGCGUAGGCGGCCUGCUAAGUCGAACGUGAAAUCCCCGGGCUCAACCCGGGAACUGCCUUUGAUACUGGUAGGCUCGAAUCCGAGAGAGGGAGGCGGAAUUCCAGGUGUAGAGGUGAAAUUCGUAGAUAUCGGAAGGAACACCGGUGGCGAAGGCGGCCACCUGGCUGGCAACUGACGCUGAGGCGCGAAAGCGUGGGGAGCAAACAGG
rnacentral:rRNA from 1 species